rnacentral:pre_miRNA from 1 species
UUGACAGAUUAUUGUAUUCGACUGUAUUCAUGGCGUGAAAUAGGGGAUUACACUGUUUUUAAAACGGAAAGCGAAUCAAUUAACAUAAUAUACUCCU